rnacentral:lncRNA from 1 species
ACCAAUGAUGACUUCCAUACAUGCAUUCCUUGGAAAGCUGAACAAAAUGAGUGGGAACUCUGUACUAUCAUCUUAGUUGAACUGAGGUCCACCGGGGGCUAUAGAGGGACAACUGUCAUUUUUUUUGAUGCCCGUUGCAUGAAGCAUUCUUCCAGGCUUAGGAAGGGAUUCCGUUUGGGUGAAGGAGAGUCACAGGGGAGUUGAGGCUAUGUGCACAGGACUUCUGUCUACAAGGCUGGGGUAGCACACAUGCAGUCCGUGGGACUAGGUGAAUGUGCAGGUUGCUCAGGGAGAGUUAACCUGUAGCCUGCCUCUGGGUGGCCAAGAUUGUCCUUGACUCCUGGCUCUGGGUUCCCACAACCCCUGGAGGAAGACAAGUAAUUGUGCUUGGGAAGAGAGAACAAGGCCAUACUUUUGCCUUUCUUUUUUUCAUUCUUAGUUUGAGAACAGUGGAGUUCCAAUCACCUGGCAUAGCUUUCAUGUUGUGUUCCAUGCAUUGUGAGUACAUGCAUAUGGCAGGAACACACAGGUUCCCACUGCAAGCUGAGCCUGAUAGGCAAGGAGUCUCUAGCUUAACCCCAGCCCAGUGUACGUCAAUGGCUUCCUCAUUAAAAUUGCAUGGCCCUGUAGCUUUUGUGAGUGACAUUAUAGGUAUCGAUGUAAGGGUGUUGAGAGGGAUGCUCAAUGUCAGUGCUCUUUAGUGUGCUGAUGCACUACUACAAGGGCACCUGAGCCCUUGUCCAUGCAUUUCUGUGUCCAAAAUCAGGUAAAGCCAGAGUUGGGUAUCAACCAGAUACACUGCAGGGGAUCAGAGGACAUGGCCUUUGUGUACUGCACAUCUGUCAGAUUUUCUCAAGCACACCCGUGUUUCCUCUUCACCUCCCACGUGGAAGUGAUGAAUUGGCCAGGACCAUGUUGGUGAGGGACAAUCAUCAUCUCAUGUUAACCUCAGAGAAGCCAGGAAGCUCCUGGACACACAUGGUGUAGGCUUCCUUGGAGGCUGUUGGAUCUCUCCUGAAUGUAGUGUUGGUGUAAAAGGCAAACCCGUGUCAUGAGGGAUGGUCAUCAUCUUGUGUGAUCCUUGGAGAUGGCAGGAAGCCCUGGACAUACAUGGUGUGGGGGCUCCUCCAGAGGCUGUUGGGAUCCUCCUGGAUGUGGUGUGGGCAUGGAAGGAAGGCCAGUGGAGACAAUGGAUGAUCUUGUUCUUAGCAGAUCACUGGAUGUGGCAGGGAGUCCUAGGACAUGUGUGGUGUGGGCUUCUUCAGGUGCUGGUGGUGUUGGCAUGAGGAAAGGAGGUAUCUUCGAGGGACAAUCUUCUUCUUGUGCGAUCCUUGGAGAUGCCAUGAGGCCCCUGGACACAUGUGGUGUGGGCUCCUUUGGAGGCUGUUGUAUCCCUUCUGAAUGUGGUGUUGGCAUGAAAGGCAGGCUUGUAUCAUGAGGAAUGAUUGUCAUCUUGUCUGAUUCUUGGAGAUGGCAGGAAGCCCCUGGAAACACAUGGUGUGGACUCUUUCACAGGCUGUUGAAACCCUCCUGAAUGUAAGUGAUUUCAUUCCAAAGCACCCUGAGUUUCCUCAUUUGCAGGGAUGAAACCUGUGUGUGGAUCGAUGAUGACUUCCAUAUAUACAUUCCUUGGAAAGCUGAACAAAAUGAGUGAAAACUCUAUACUGUCAUCCUCGUCGAACUGAGGUCCAGCACAUUACUCCAACAGGGGCUAGACAGAGAAGGCCAACAUCCGUUUGUUGACAUGGGUUAUAUCAAGGCGUCUGUUCAGGCUUAGAAUGUGGUCUCUUAUGGGUGAUGGGGGUCACAGGAGAGUGGUGGCUCCCAUGUAUAGGAAAUUUCUUGUUUGAAGGACUGUCAGUGAGGGUGGGUAACACAUGCAUUGUCUGCAGGACUAGGUGAAUGUCCAUGUGGCCUAGCAAGAGUUAGCUGGUAGCCCGCCUCUGGUUGCCAAUUUGUUCUUGAGUCCUUGUUCUGGGUUCUCAGGUCCCACGGAGGAAAACAGAUCUGUGUGGUUGAGAGGUGGGUACAAGGCCGCAUCUUUGUCAUUUGUUGGCUAACUUUGUCCUUGGUUGAGGACAUUAGAGUUUUGGUCACCAGGCAUAGCCUAUGUGCCUUUGUGCCCGUGUUGUAUCCCACGUGUUUUGAGGACAUGUAUUUUGCACGUAAAGGUGAGCUCCUGCUCCAAGCUGGUUCUGAUACCAAAGGAGUCCCUGGCUUAUCCUAAACUCAUGGUAGGUUAAAGCCUUCCUCCUUAGGGGUUCAGGGCCGCAAGGCUUUUGUGAGUGGCAUUGCAGGCGUUGAAGCAGUGAUGUUGAGAGGGAUGGUCAAUGUCAGUGCUCUUUAGCAGGAUGGUGUACUGCAGGGGCCCCCAGCCCCGAGACGAGCAUCCCUGCAUCCAUGCAUUUCUGCCUCCAUGAACAGGGGAGGCCAGAGACAGGCAGAUAGUAGAUAAAUUGCAGGGGACUGGAUGACAUGGCCCUCGUGACCUGUGCACCUGUCUGUCUUUCUGAAGCACGCCUGUGUUAACUCUGCACCUCCCAGGUAGCACUGGCAUGGAGGGCAGGCACAUGUUGGUGAGGGACAAUUGUUACCUUGUGUGAGCUGCGGAGAUACCAGGAAGCCCCUGGACACAAAUGGCAAAGGCUCCUUCGGAAGUUGUUGGAUCCCUUCUGAAUGUAAGCACUUCUUUCCCAGAGCACUCUGAGUUUCCUCAUUUGCAGGGACAAAUACUGUGCGUGGAUCGAUGAUGACUUCCACAUAUACAUUCCUUGGAAAGCUGAACAAAAUGAGUGAAAACUCUAUACCGUCAUCCUCGUCGAACUGAGGUCCAGCACGUGGCUCCAACUGGAGCUGGAGAGAGAGAGACAACUUCCAUUGGUUGAUGUGGGUUGCACUAAGCCAUCCAUCCAGGCUUAGGAUGGGGUCCACUUUGGAUCAAAGGGAGUCACAGGGCAGUAGGUGCUCCUGUGCAGAGGAGAUUCCUUGUGUGAAGGACUUCUCUUUGUGAGGCUGGGUAGCACGCACAAUGUCU